GGUUAUGGCGGCGGUGGGUGUUUGUCCAUGAGGUGGGGGACGCCUGCAAUUCUGUCACAGAGCGAUCCGAGCGAAGCGCUGCCAUGGCCGGAAUGUUUGACAUUGAUCUGGACCAGCCGGAGGAAAAUGUCUCCGACGAUGAGGUUGAGGAGGUUGAAAUCAGUGAUAUCAUGGACCAGUGCACUGGAUUUGAGUUCAACAUGGACGACUGUGAGAAGAUCGAGAUAUCGGAGGACAACGUGAACCAGGGGACGGAGAACAUCCGACCGACUGC